CCUGGCUGCACCUCUCUUAGACUUCAUUUAAGGGCUGACUGUCACUGUGGAAGGAUCUCUGGUCAGAGAUCCCUCACUUGUGGAGUUUCCUUUACAAGCCUAGAUCUUCACAGACAGCUUUGACAUCAUUUGCUUUUCACAAAUCAAAGGGAAAAAAGAGUGCUAUGAUAUUUAAAACGUUGUCUUUCAUCUACACCACGUACUAAAUUCUCCUUUCGGGCUAGGAGGCCUGCAGUCAGCUGCAUCCAACAGAAUACAUAGGAUAGAAGCCUAAAGAAAAGUUCAGCAAUAGCAUAACUGAGCAGAUGCUGCUGAUUUCAAAGCUAACAGCCAGGCUACCGGUGAAUCCUUUGAGGGGAAAAAAACAGUUACAACAACUUAAUGGUUACCCCGUAAGAAGAUUAACUCUGGAAAGUGUAUUAAGACAGCGAAGACUAUGAGAAAAGCAAAACAAAAGCAAG